GGUGAGAUGGCCGAGCGGUCCAAGGCGCCAGACUAAGGAACGACCAGGACACUUGGUGUCCGUAUCAUCUGGUCUCUCCGGAGGCGGGGGUUCGAAUCCCCCUCUCAUCA